rnacentral:lncRNA from 1 species
GUCAGCUGUCCCACACUCUUCCAGUUUUGCGAGGCAGGAGUAAAGUCCUUAUUGCCCUUCAAAUGCACACAAACACACACAAAAAAAAAGUUUUCAAGUAAGCAGCAGCUUUCCCUAGGGUGGACCUGUGUCCAUGCACACAGCCCAGCCCUUGCCUGCCACCGGACAGAGCAGACCACGGCAUGUAAAGAAGAGCCCGAGGAGCUGGGGUGCCCCCUGAAACUUUCUCCCCGACCUCUGCUGCGGGGUUUGUGUCUGUGUGCCAGGGAGGGGGGAGAGAAGGAGACCUAGUGCAAAGGAGAGCAAGCAAGGAAGCCAGGAGAGAGAAGGGAGCUUGCUUCAUGCACUGCUGAAGACUGUCAGAGGCAGAGCGCACCAGCAGCUCACUGGCUGUGGUGCAAUUUAAGGGACGCCGUUUAUUGACUUUAUUCAUUAAAUUGCUGAAGGACAGAUAUGACAUCUGACUACUGCUUCUAUAUAUUCUUGCUUAUUGGAACAAAGGGUAAGUACACCUGGCUUUUUUCUUUGAACAUUGCACAGAAUAUAGCUAAUAAACUUUAGUAGUAGCUUUUUUAAACUAUAAUA